GACGGAGUGGAUCACAAAGCUAACUUCUGCUAACUAUCAAAAUAACACUGCAAAGGAAUCAGCACAUCAGCGAAAAUAAUCUCCAGCUUCUGUAUCGAUGGCUGCUGUCACAGCUGCUCGGACUCCACGACAAAGGCUUUCGACUUCCCUGUGUUACUCUCGUGUCCUUCCUUUCUUCAUUUGCACACGACUGUGUACGGAGCUGUCCUGCUGUUGAGAGAGCAGGAUGAGCAUGCGUGGAGCAGUGGCCGGCUGUGUGGUGCUGAUGUGCCUGGUGGCGCUGCAGCUCGAGAGGACGGAGGGCCACAUUACUUUCUUCAGCCCCAAGGAGAUGAUGCUGA